rnacentral:rRNA from 1 species
UACGAAGGGGGCUAGCGUUGCUCGGAAUCACUGGGCGUAAAGCGCACGUAGGCGGAUUGUUAAGUCAGGGGUGAAAUCCUGGAGCUCAACUCCAGAACUGCCUUUGAUACUGGCGAUCUUGAGUCCGGGAGAGGUGAGUGGAACUGCGAGUGUAGAGGUGAAAUUCGUAGAUAUUCGCAAGAACACCAGUGGCGAAGGCGCUCACUGGCCCGGUACUGACGCUGAGGUGCGAAAGCGUGGGGAGCAAACAGG